rnacentral:tRNA from 5 species
CAGCCAGUAGCUCAUCCGGAUAGAGCACGAACCUUCUAAGUUCGGGGUAGGGGGUUCGAGUCCCUCCUGGCUGGCCA